AUUGAACGCUGGCGGCAGGCUUAACACAUGCAAGUCGAGCGAGCGGCGGACGGGUGAGUAAUGUCUGGGAAACUGCCUGAUGGAGGGGGAUAACUACUGGAAACGGUAGCUAAUACCGCAUACCAUCAGAUGUGCCCAGAUGGGAUUAGCUAGUAGGUGGGGUAAUGGCUCACCUAGGCGACGAUCCCUAGCUGGUCUGAGAGGAUGACCAGACACCCUGCAACGGAGCCACGCCCCAGACCCAACCGGGAGGCGGCGCAGGGGUAUAGUGCACAAGUGGCUCAACGCUCGUGCGGCCAUGCCGCGUGUCUUAAGGAGGCCUUCCGCUUUUAGAGCACUUUUAGCGAGGAGGCGUUACUCGCAGAAUAAGCACCGGCUAACUCCGUGCCAGCAGCCGCGGUAAUUC
rnacentral:rRNA from 1 species